rnacentral:rRNA from 1 species
GAUGAACGCUGGCGGCGUGCUUAACACAUGCAAGUCGAACGGUGAAGCAGAGCUUGCUCUGUGGAUCAGUGGCGAACGGGUGAGUAACACGUGAGCAACCUGCCCCGGACUCUGGGAUAAGCGCUGGAAACGGCGUCUAAUACCGGAUACGAGAUUCCACCGCAUGGUGAGUUUCUGGAAAGAUUUUUUGGUCUGGGAUGGGCUCACGGCCUAUCAGCUUGCUGGUGAGGUAAUGGCUCACCAAGGCGUCGACGGGUAGCCGGCCUGAGAGGGUGACCGGCCACACUGGGACUGAGACACGGCCCAGACUCCUACGGGAGGCAGCAGUGGGGAAUAUUGCACAAUGGGCGGAAGCCUGAUGCAGCAACGCCGCGUGAGGGAUGACGGCCUUCGGGUUGUAAACCUCUUUUAGCAGGGAAGAAGCGAAAGUGACGGUACCUGCAGAAAAAGCGCCGGCUAACUACGUGCCAGCAGCCGCAGUAA